rnacentral:rRNA from 1 species
AUUGAACGCUGGCGGCAUGCCUUACACAUGCAAGUCGAACGGUAACGCGGGGCAACCUGGCGACGAGUGGCGAACGGGUGAGUAAUGUAUCGGAACGUGCCCAGUUGUGGGGGAUAAUUGCUCGAAAGAGCAGCUAAUACCGCAUACGACCUGAGGGUGAAAGCGGGGGAUCGCAAGACCUCGCGCAAUUGGAGCGGCCGAGAUCAGAUUAGGUAGUUGGUGGGGUAAAGGCUCACCAAGCCAACGAUCUGUAGCUGGUCUGAGAGGACGACCAGCCACACUGGGACUGAGACACGGCCCAGACUCCUACGGGAGGCAGCAGUGGGGAAUUUUGGACAAUGGACGCAAGUCUGAUCCGGCCAUGCCGCGUGCGGGAAGAAGGCCUUCGGGUUGUAAACCGCUUUUGUCAGGGAAGAAACGCUCUGGGUUAAUACCUCGGGGCAAUGACGGUACCUGAAGAAUAAGCACCGGCUAACUACGUGCCAGCAGCCGCGGUAAGAC